rnacentral:rRNA from 1 species
GUGAGGAAUAUUGGUCAAUGGGCGAGAGCCUGAACCAGCCAAGUCGCGUGAAGGAAGAAGGAUCUAUGGUUCGUAAACUUCUUUUGUAGGGGAAUAAAGUGCAGGACGUGUCCUGUUUUGUAUGUACCCUGAGAAUAAGGAUCGGCUAACUCCGUGCCAGCAGCCGCGGUAAUACGGAGGAUCCGAGCGUUAUCCGGAUUUAUUGGGUUUAAAGGGUGCGUAGGUGGUUUGAUAAGUCAGCGGUGAAAGUUUGCAGCUUAACUGUAAAAAUGCCGUUGAAACUGUCGGACUUGAGUGUAAAUGAGGUAGGCGGAAUGCGUGGUGUAGCGGUGAAAUGCAUAGAUAUCACGCAGAACUCCGAUUGCGAAGGCAGCUUACUAAGCUACAACUGACACUGAAGCACGAAAGCGUGGGGAUCAAACAGGAUUAGAAACCCGAGUAGUCC